rnacentral:rRNA from 1 species
AAUGGCAUAACUAUCAACCGAUAGUUAUAGGAAAGAAGUUUAUUAAGAAAAAGAACAAAUUUUACAAUUGUAGAAAUCGUAAGAUUUUAACAAGUAAUCAAUGAAAAUAUCUGAUCUAUCAACUAGUUGGUAGUAUAGAGGACUACCAAGGUUAUAACGGAUAACGAGAAAUUAGGGUUUGACAUCGGAGAAGGAGCUUUAAAAAUGGCUACUACUUCUAAGGAAGGCAGCAGGCGCGUAAAUUACCCACUUUUAACAUAAAGAGGUAGUGACGACAAAUAACUCUUUUAAAGCCGAGGGG